rnacentral:rRNA from 1 species
AGCGAACGCUGGCGGCAGGCCUAACACAUGCAAGUCGAGCGCCCGCAGCAAUACGGGAGCGGCAGACGGGUGAGUAACACGUGGGAACGUACCCUUCGGUUCGGAAUAACCCAGGGAAACUUGGACUAAUACCGGAUACGUCCGUAAGGAGAAAGAUUUAUCGCCGAAGGACCGGCCCGCGUCCGAUUAGCUUGUUGGUGGGGUAAUGGCCCACCAAGGCUACGAUCGGUAGCUGGUCUGAGAGGAUGAUCAGCCACACUGGGACUGAGACACGGCCCAGACUCCUACGGGAGGCAGCAGUGGGGAAUAUUGGACAAUGGGCGCAAGCCUGAUCCAGCCAUGCCGCGUGGGUGAUGAAGGCCCUAGGGUUGUAAAGCCCUUUCGGCGGGGAAGAUAAUGACGGUACCCGCAGAAGAAGCCCCGGCUAACUUCGUGCCAGCCGCCGCAGUAA